rnacentral:rRNA from 1 species
UACGGAGGGAGCUAGCGUUGUUCGGAAUUACUGGGCGUAAAGCGCACGUAGGCGGCUUUGUAAGUUAGAGGUGAAAGCCCGGGGCUCAACUCCGGAACUGCCUUUAAGACUGCAUCGCUUGAAUCCGGGAGAGGUGAGUGGAAUUCUGAGUGUAGAGGUGAAAUUCGUAGAUAUUCGGAAGAACACCAGUGGCGAAGGCGGCUCACUGGACCGGUAUUGACGCUGAGGUGCGAAAGCGUGGGGAGCAAACAGG